rnacentral:misc_RNA from 1 species
UUUCCGUAGGUGAACCUGCGGAAGGAUCAUUACUGAGUGAGGGCCCCUCGGGGUCCAACCUCCCACCCGUGUUUAACGUACCUUGUUGCUUCGGCGGGCCCGCCUCACGGCCGCCGGGGGGCAUUCGCCCCCGGGCCCGCGCCCGCCGAAGCCACCUGUGAACGCUGUCUGAAGUAUGCAGUCUGAGACAAUUAUUAAAUUAAUUAAAACUUUCAACAACGGAUCUCUUGGUUCCG